UUUGGACUCUCCUUGAAAGACCAGCCCUUCUAUGCAUCAGAAGCCACAGUGAGUUGCAGCUGCUGCCCUCCGAUCCAUCAAACGUUGGCGUAAACCUCAUAUUUACAAAACAUUAUGGCUAGCAAGAAGAACAAUGAAUCAAGAAAUUGUCCUAUAUUUCAGGAAUCAUGGGCUGAUCCCCGGCUUACGUUGACUGAUGUUGUAACUGCCAUAUUCCACCAAAAGUGGCUUGUCCGAAAGCCUUGAACUGCACUGAAGCUGAACGUGAACCAAGGAGUUGGGCACUCGGAAAAUCGUCUGGUGAUCCAUGUAGGAGCCGCAGUACCUGAGGAGCAAGGGUAGGGGGACACACAGCAUGAGGGCCCGUCAACUGCAUUCCUGUCUUCUGUCAACAGCAAAUUCACUGAUACUUUGGUCAUUUGAGCUUCAUAAACGGAGAUGCUUAUGGUAGAGCUGAUGGUAGUUAUCCAUCCUAUGCUAAGUGAUUGCCACUGAGUCACUUCUGUCCCCUUGAUUUUCUCCUCUGCUAAAUAAAACAAUAGUGUUACUA